GCAGUGGUGGUUCAGUGGUAGAAUCCUCGCCUUCCAUGCAACAGACCCAGGUUCAAUUCUUGGUCAAUGCG
rnacentral:tRNA from 1 species